CCUACGGGUGGCAGCAGUCGAGAAUCAUUCACAAUGGGGGAAACCCUGAUGGUGCGACGCCGCGUGGGGGAAUGAAGGUCUUCGGAUUGUAAACCCCUGUCAUGUGGGAGCAAAAUAAAAAGAUAGUACCACAAGAGGAUGAGACGGCUAACUCUGUGCCAGCAGCCGCGGUAAUACAGAGGUCUCAGGCGUUGUUGGGAAUCCCUGGGCGUAAGGCGUGCGUAGGCUGUUUCGUAAGUCGUGUGUGAAAGGCCCGGGCUAAACCCGCGGACUGCACAUGAUACUGCGAGACUAGAGUAAUGGUGCGGGGACCGGAAUUCUCGGUGUAGCAGUGAAAUGCGUAGAUAUCGAAAGGAACACUCGUGGCGAAGGCGUGUUCCUGGACAUUAACUGACGCUGAGGCACGAAGGCCAGGGGAGCGAAAGGGAUUAGAUACCCGGGUAGUC
rnacentral:rRNA from 1 species